rnacentral:rRNA from 1 species
GAGCGGCAGCACGGGGAGCUUGCUCCCUGGUGGCGAGCGGCGGACGGGUGAGUAAUGCAUAGGAAUCUGCCCGGUAGUGGGGGAUAACGUGGGGAAACCCACGCUAAUACCGCAUACGUCCUACGGGAGAAAGCGGAGGCUCUUCGGACUUCGCGCUAUCGGAUGAGCCUAUGUCGGAUUAGCUGGUUGGUAAGGUAACGGCUUACCAAGGCGACGAUCCGUAGCUGGUCUGAGAGGAUGAUCAGCCACACUGGGACUGAGACACGGCCCAGACUCCUACGGGAGGCAGCAGUGGGGAAUAUUGGACAAUGGGCGAAAGCCUGAUCCAGCCAUGCCGCGUGUGUGAAGAAGGCUUUCGGGUUGUAAAGCACUUUCAGCGAGGAAGAAAGCCUUUGGGUUAAUACCCCAGAGGAAGGACAUCACUCGCAGAAGAAGCACCGGCUAACUCCGUGCCAGCAGCCGCGGUAAUACGGAGGGUGCGAGCGUUAAUCGGAAUUAACUGGGGCCGUAAGCGGGGUUACGUCGGCUUGGCCAUGUCAGUAUGGUGAAACUCCCCCGGGCUCAACGUGGGAACCGGCAUCCGGGACGUCCAGGCUAGAGUGCAGGAGAGGAAAGUAGCCUUCCCGGCGUAGCCGUUGAAAUGGCGUAGAGAUCGGGAGGAAUACCCAGUGGCGAAGGCGGCCUUUCUGGCUUGACACUGACAACGGAGGUGCGAAAGCGUGGGUAGCAAAACAGGAUUAGAUACCUUGGUAGUCCACGCCGUAAACGAUGUCGACUAGCCGUUGGGACCUUUAAAGGACUUAGUGGCGCAGUUAACGCGAUAAGUCGACCGCCUGGGGAGUACGGCCGCAAGGUUAAAACUCAAAUGAAUUGACGGGGGCCCGCACAAGCGGUGGAGCAUGUGGUUUAAUUCGAUGCAACGCGAAGAACCUUACCUACCCUUGACAUCCUGCGAACCCGGAAGAGAUUCCGGGGUGCCUUCGGGAACGCAGUGACAGGUGCUGCAUGGCUGUCGUCAGCUCGUGUUGUGAAAUGUUGGGUUAAGUCCCGUAACGAGCGCAACCCUUGUCCUUAUUUGCCAGCGAUUCGGUCGGGAACUCUAAGGAGACUGCCGGUGACAAACCGGAGGAAGGUGGGGACGACGUCAAGUCAUCAUGGCCCUUACGGGUAGGGCUACACACGUGCUACAAUGGCCGGUACAAAGGGUUGCGAGACCGCGAGGUGGAGCGAAUCCCAGAAAGCCGGCCUCAGUCCGGAUCGGAGUCUGCAACUCGACUCCGUGAAGUCGGAAUCGCUAGUAAUCGUGAAUCAGAAUGUCACGGUGAAUACGUUCCCGGGCCUUGUACACACCGCCCGUCACACCAUGGGAGUGGACUGCACCAGAAGUGGUUAGCUUAAC